GACGAACGCUGGCGGCGUGCUUAACACAUGCAAGUCGAACGGAAAGGCCCUGCUUGCAGGGUACUCGCGUGGCGAACGGGUGGGUAACACGUGGGUGAUCUGCCCUGCACUUCGGGAUAAGCUUGGGAGACUGGGUGUAAUACCGGAUAGGAACCAUCUUUAGUGUGGUGGUUGGAAAGUUUUUUCGGUGUAGGAUGAGCUCGCGGCCUAUCAGCUUGCUGGUGGGGUAAUGGCCUACCAAGGCGGCGACGGAUAGCCGGCCUGAGAGGGUGUACGGCCACACUGGGACUGUGAGACGGGCCAGAGUCGGACGGGAGGCAGCAGUGGGGAAUAUUGGACAAUGGGAGCAAGCCUGAUGGAGCGAGGCCGCGUGGGCGAUGAACGCCUUCGGGUUGUAAACUCCUAUCGCUAGGGAAGAAGCUUUGUUGUGACGGUACCUAGAUAAGAAGCACCGGCUAACUACGUG
rnacentral:rRNA from 1 species